GAAGUACAAAAUAAUGAAUUCGGGCGUGUGUUGGAGAAAGAAAAAAGAAAAAUAAGACGAGAAAGAAAUAGAAGGUUCGGGGAAAAGAUGAAGCUCCACUCAACCAAAGAUUACACAAUCCCCGCCUCAACCUAACCUUUCUUCCCCACCUCUAUUAUGCGCGCGCGUGAACAACGAAGGUAGGAGUCGAAUACGCGAGUAAGGCAGGUAAAGCAAACAAGCAAGGCAGACAGGCAGGCAAGCAGGCAAGCAGGCAGGCAGGCAGGCAAGCAGGCAGCCGACCAGCAGGGCACAAUUUGUUCAAGAAUUGACAGGACCUACUCGAAAGUUUAAAAUACCCUAUUGGGCCAUUAAACACGAACCUGAUCCACGUGGCGGACAGAUGCAAAAGAUACGGCGGCGCCGGUUUUUGAAUAGUCGUAAAAGGAAUAUUCUCGUUACUUUCAAUGCUAUCUACGCCUUCAAUAUAUAAAAUUCUCGAUAUAUUA